UGGAAAAGGUAUUCUAGAAACAUCUAUCUCAGGCUGAUGGGUGUGUGGGUUGUGUGCUGCAAAGCUCUAGGAAGUGUCAUUUAUAUUGUAGUCUGGGGGACACACGAGCCUGGAGAAGGGAGACCAUUUUGGAGGCUCGUGUAGCAUCCAGGCCCAAGGUGAGCAGGAGCCCCUGAGCAGGGCAGGUGGGCUGGAGGGUAAGAGGGAGGGAUGGAAGGGAGAGGUACUAGGCGGAGGCUCGACGGGGCUUGGUGGCUUGAUGGAGGGAGGAGUAGGCCAGGGAGAAGGUUUCUGCAUGGGUGCUGGUGCAUCUAGACAGGAAAGCCAGGAGAAAGUGUAUGUGUUGGGAAAGGAGUGUGAGGGAGGGGCUGAAGGCCCAGGCCUCUCUGGUAUCCCCUGAGGAUACGUUGGGAGAUAACUGGAUACACCAGUCUGAAGCUUGGGAACAAGUCCGGGCUGGAAAAACAGACUUUUGGGUUCACCAGAGUGUAUCUGGGGCUGGAAACAGGCCCAGAUUCAGGUCCCCGAGAGCGUGUAGAACUGGAUUUCCAGCUAAGGUGGGAGUAGGCCUAAGGCCCGUUUUUACUCUUUUCCAAAGAGGGUGGAAUUAAAGAGCAUUGAGAAACAUCAUUGCAGGGUGAGAGGACUGCUGAAAUCUGGGCGGCUCGGCAUUUGGGAGAAAGGCAGAGAAGAACAGGGCUGGGCCAGGACACGGCCUUGCGAGCCCGGCAGAGGAAGUGCUCUAGCUCCAUCACGCGUGAACUUGCAAGCUGGGUCUGUCCUAGCCAGGCUGGGGGCGGUGGGGAGACAGCGCACUUUCCUCAGCCAUUUUCUUUAGAAUAAGGGAGAUGAAAGACCUGAGGGGAAUCUUAGAUGUACAGUAUAAAGUUUGAAAAUUAUUGCAUUUAUUAAUUCUAUUUUGGUCUUUGGUUUUAAGAGUUUCUGAACCUGAGAUAAGGCUUUGUUUUGUUUGGUAGAAGUGCUAGUCAUCAUUUUUCUUUGUUGAGAGCAGACUGAAGUAAUGUUCAUAGAUUCGUUGGCUGAGGUGCUUCCGUGUGGCUUGGAAGCUUAGCAGAUGUGGCACCUCAGUCUUCCUGAACUGCCGUCGGUCACACACUGCACGUCCUUAUGUCACGGUAGAUUAGAACUACAUAGAAAAGAUACUGCUCCGAAGGAGAUGAGGCUAAUUCAGAGGCAUUUAGUCACUUGGAUGUGUCAUGGGUAAAAAGCAGUAGAGACAGAAUGAGGGCGCACAGCUCCUGAUUUAUUUUUUCCUUUUGUUCAAAGUCCAGUGUAUUGAACUGUGGAAUUCGUAUGGUAAAAACUGUCUUACAUGGUCUGGAUAAGACACCUGGAGCUUGUUGGGGGCAGACUUACAAAUACAAGCAAUGCCAACCUUCCCUCUACCCCAGUGUUGCCUUUAAUAGUGUCAGAAAGGAAAACUUAGAAGAGGGUAUAGUUUUCUCCAUGGUUUUCUCCUGAGCUAAGCCACUGGGACUACAGAGGACAAAGAGGAGGGGAUGGGAAAGGAAGGAGACUAAGGGUAGGAUUGAUGGGGGUUGGUGGGACCCUACUGGGUUUCUGGGUGGGCAGAGAUGUCGGGAAAGCACGGAGGGUGCAGAUUUGCCCUGUGGUGGUACCAGUCCCCAUGGGGAAGACGAAGACGAAUGGCGCCGGGGCCCACACAGCUGAGUCCUCAAGGCAGCUGGGACCUGAGCACAGCCAGACAUUGUAGCCAGGCACGAAGACACACUGUAUCCCAGGACUGUGGGGUGACCUCUUACUACUUCCAAAACACGGUCAGCGUUCAAGGCAGUAAGAGGGAAGCACAGCAGGAGGAGGACUGAGAUCUGGGAUUUGGACUGAAAGACAUGUCACAGAGCAGUACGGAAGAAAUCGGGUGUGCGCAAGCUUAUUGAUCACAGGUAUGUAAUGAAACACUUUCUAUAAUCUCUUAGGAGGAGGUUAAAAAACUUACAGCCAUCUUUCUUUGAGUUUAAGAAGUUAUGUUUUAACAAAAGGAGUAACGCUUUUCACAUAAAGACUAAGAACAAGAACCUCUUAGAUAUGGCAAGAGUGUCAGGGUCUGCUCUUCCCACGCUCACUGAACGCUUGUCUGCUUUUGGUAUUCCCACUUUAGAAGGAGUGUGGAGAAGCUGGCAAGGUUUCAGGGAAGAACUUUCAAUAUUACUGAAGUUAUGGGAAGUAAAAAUAAUUUAAAUAUAAAAUAAAAUCUGAAGAAAUAGGUUAUGCUUAAGUAAGACAGGGAGUUUGGAGAAAUAUCCCAGUGGUUACAGGUUUUAGCCACCAAGGUAAAGGGUGAAAUUUGAAUAUCUCAGGUAGAUUUGAUAAAAAGGGAAUUGUAGUCAGGAUUAGGAAACCAAGUAUUUUUGUGGUAAGUAAACAGACUAAUGGCUAGAGUAAGAAAAUCAAGAAACUAAAAGCAAUCUCAAUUGUAUGCCAACUGUUUAAGCUUUACUUAAAGUAAAAUUAGAGUAUGAAACCUAUUUGAACAAUAUAUGAGUACAAAUCCAAAAAAAGCCCCCAGAACAACAAAAAAGUGUACAUAAAUGCUCUGAACAAUGCAAAAACUUCCACCUAGUAAAUACAUAAACAGCACUUGUUUAAAUGCAACAUAUAUUUUAUACUGACCUCUGCAGUCAGUUUUAAUCAAAGGCUACACAAAUAUUUUGAUAUGAUUGGUUUCAACAGUUUAAAUUAAACCCAGUUUUGAUGUGAAACAGAAAAGCCCGUGAGCUGAUGGCCACAGCACAUGUAAGAGGAAUGACUCCCAACAGACUUACUUUUGCUAAAAAAAAAAAAAAGAAAAAGAAAAAUCUGGAUAACUGCUAAUGUUCAGAUCUGAAAUGAAGAAUGAGGUAAUUUUAUUCCUCCAUUGUAGGAUUCCAUACUGUGUUCUAAAUCCUAGAUCAUACGUAAAAUUUUAGACCAGGAAGGAGCCUUAGCAAUACUGGCUGGAGCCUCCCAUUGGACGGAUGAGCAAGGUAAGGCCGGACAGGCAUGAGUGACGGGGAGGUCAUGCUGUGGGCCCAGGCCUCCAGCUUGGAUGCUCUCUUUAAAAGAAUGAGCAUUGGCUUGUUGUGGAAGAGAAUCUCGUGUGUGGCUCUAUCCGGUUUUCUGAAGCCCUUUGAGUAGCUUCUUGGUCAUACCGGCUUUAGUUAGUUACCCAAUCAAUACAUCAUUAAGCAAACCAAAAUGUAUCAUUGAAUCCAGGAGCGCCACAGCAAGCCUUGGGGAUGUGGCAUCCCUGGGGUAAUGAGCCCACUUCACGGUCACAUGCCGAUGCUGUGGGGUGCUGGAUGAUUGGUGUUGAUGUGUACCCUGUACCUCCUUUCUUAUGCAAGAGCAGUUGGAAAUUUGCCUUUAGUAGCUGGUUCAGCCAAACUGGGGGUCCCCGCCAUGUUCACGGCCCCACACUUCAGGGAACUGGCAUCCACCUGGCUAUGUUUCCCAACUCCAAGGUGCCAUUUCCUGUCUCUGGCUUAUAGUUGGGGAACAUCUGCCUCUAAAUCUUACAGUAAUGACCAGUCUCCAUGUCACUGAAUUUCCACAAAGUUGUACAGUGAAGGGUACAACCAUUUUUAGCUGGUCUGUCCCCACCUGCCCCUUCUUUAACGUUAGGGAACCACUUAUACCCCUGGAGAGAGAAGGGUUCCUGGUUCUUGUGCGCUUUUAUAUACAUGUUGUAGAAGCUGACGUCAAGUCUUGUGAGUAAAGUGCACUUUAAGAUACAUGGCCUAACUUAAAAAGAGGUACCAUAUAAAAACAUUUGCUGAAUCUGUGAAAGUGCAUAUAUUUUAUGCAGUCUUUUAGAGACCCUGGUUGACUGCAAAUGAAGUGGAGGAAAAAAUGUUAUCACUAAAAUUAAAUAUUUUUGAAGGUAUUGGCUAUACUUUUCCUGGAACCACUUGGAUUUGGCAAAGAUAAUAUUUUUUUUUUCUUUUAGUGAUUUUGGAGGCCCACCUUUGAUGCUUUCCCUAGCGGAGAGCUGCAGCAGCUAAUAGACCUACCCUCUCCUCCUGAGAAGAAAAUGAAGUGUAAACUUAAAACAAGGUCUCAUCGCCUCUUCAUUCUUUUUUCCUUUUGCGAUCACUAUGUGAUUUGUUACAGCUUUUCCGACAUCUGAGUGGAGUUUGCGUUAUUUUGAUUACAUAAUGUAAUUUCUCUCAUUUUGAACAUUUGUGUAAUUAAUUUUAGACAUUCUGCCUUUGAAAGGGCAGGCAACAGGGCCUUCCGAUUUUUCUUCAUAUUUCUCUUCAGAUUUUCUCUACAUCCUGUUUUAUGUGUGGUUAGAUCAGUUGAUGAGUCACAUGAUGUUUUGCUGCUUCAAAUGACAGAAAUAGAGAUUCAAAAUAACCACACAGAGAAGUGUCGUGAAUGCUUACCAAACACGUUGCUCAAAAACAUGCUUUUCUACAGUUUAAAUGCUUUUUAUACACGGCCGUCAGAGGGCUGGGUGUGAGGCGCCAUCUACAAAGGGCAGCAGGAGCAGCUGGCUGACUCCCACGCCACAUCGCUCGGAGCCCUGCUACACGCUGCAGUGUCAUUUUGGUUACAGAAAUGGCAGGGACAGGACUUAGAACAUAGAAGAUCCCUCUUCCUGGACCGUGCACUGGUUUGGCUGAUGAAGACCUCAUCCUAAAUGUAGAGCUCUGCCCCUGAAACUACUGCAAAACAGCUAUGUAUCUUAAUUUUCAGAUAUCUAUGUAUAAAUGGAGGAAAAGCCACUUUGAGGACGCACGAAGGACCUUUCCCUGUCGUGGGCAUGCCCGAGGGCAGUAAGUGUCCAGAAAUGUGAGUGCAACCCUGUCAUGUUCACAGCCGACUUUAUGCCCUUCCAUUCUUCUUUUCUAUGAAGAACAGUGUGAUUACAUAGCACUGACAACAACAGACACAAAAGACCUGCCUUUUUCUUUCUCUUUUUUGCCCUGCCAGCUUACACUUUCAUUCUCACUACUGUCUACGCCAGUGGCCCAUUUGGCCCCAAGUUACCCAUAAUGAAAAAUAGUUCUCUUGUCAUUUACUGACCCUUACAUUCGUAUGCAAAGGAUGGACUUUGUAAAACUGCUGCCAAUAAGGUACAGUUCUCACUGAUACAAUACGUUUCAACUGCAGGUAUGUUGAGCACUCAAGCAAUCAGCGUAUUGUAUUAGAGACAUUUUAUUGAAAAUGCGAAAAUAGGAAAUGUAUUAUAGCCUAAAAUAAAUUACAUAACAUAUACAGCAUAUAUUUAUAUCUUUAAAAUAUUUUUGUUUAGGUUCUUUCAGUCUAGGAAUUUUGACUAAAUCAACAAUUUA